GACUCAUUCCAGCAAUGUUUCGCUACAAGAGGCUGAACACAAGGGAGGAACACCCAAGAGCUGAGAAGUUAUUUUAUGGCUUCCAUAAACUGAAGGCAUGCCAUACCAAUUUAGAAUGCAAAAUGGUGAUUUCUAUAUUAAGAAUUUCCCUUUUUUGGGCUGAAAUACUCUAUACUCAAUGUCUGGCAAACACAUCAUAUCCAAGAAAAUACACAAACACUAUCUCAGCAAAACAUAAAUUUACUGGAACUGAGAAACUCUGGAGGAGUCACCAUCUUGAACAUAUUAGAGUGGUUACAGUAAGUGCUGCCUCAAGAAACCUGCCCAAGGGAGAUAAGAGACUUCAGCAGGGUCUCAUGGGGUGUUGAGAUAAAGAGCCAGAGCCAGGCCAGCUCCUUUGCAUCAUCAUGACGAAAAAGCUACGUCCUGCAGUGUCUAAAACUUUGGUUUAGAGAAGGAAAAGCUUCUGCCCUUCAUCCAGCUAAGCCCACCACAACCAGGAAGCAAUAUAUCCAUAUUCAUGUACCACAGCAUCCCAAAAGCAGUCAGCCUCCUCACUAUGGCUCUGUUUAACGGAAAGGAAUAACUGAGGUCAGCCUUCCCUCCAGGAUAAGGAAGGUGAUCCCAGCCAAGCCACUAAGCACUUCUGUGACUCAGCCACUCAUCUCUAUCUGCUGUUGGCAAGAACAAAGAGGUAUUCCUAUUCAAUGUCACUGGAUGCAAAAAAGUUGUUUCUGGAAGAAAAAUGAAGAUCCUUUUCUCCCAGCAUUAACAGCAGUUUCAAAAAGGGCUGUUGUUGGUACUGCUUUCCCUCUGUGCAGAAAGCAUUUAAUUAAAGAACCAAACCAAACCAAA